UCAGCAAAACCAUAUAGCAGC
rnacentral:piRNA from 1 species